rnacentral:misc_RNA from 1 species
GAUGAAGAACGUAGCGAAAUGCGAUACGUAAUGUGAAUUGCAGAAUUCAGUGAAUCAUCGAAUCUUUGAACGCAUAUUGCGCUCUCUGGUAUUCCGGAGAGCAUGCUUGUUUGAGUAUCAGUAAACACCUCAACUCCCUUUUCUUUUUUGAAAUUGGAGCUGGACUUGAGUGAUCCCAACGCUUUCUUCCAAGAAAGUGGCGGGUUGCUUGAAAUGCAGGUGCAGCUGAACUUUUCUCUGAGCUAUAAGCAUAUCUAUUUAGUCUGCCUAAAAAACAGAUUAUUACCUUUGCUGCAGCUAACAGAAAGGAGACUAGUUCUUGUGCUGACUGAUGCAGGAUUCACAGAGACAGCUUCGGCUGACUUUGUAAACUCGAUCUCAAAUCAAGUAAGACUACCCGCUGAACUUAAGCAUAUCAAUAAGCGGAGGA